CACAGGAAUCUACCAGGAAUGCUGGUCCAACCAUUAAUGACAGUAGUGCAAAAAGACAUCAAAAAAUAAGGUGUACAUGAUAAAAUGGCCACUGAAUGUGUGCUGCACUCAGAGUACUUCUGUGGGAUACCACCACGUCCAUCAUCAAAGGCUCCCACCGUCCAGCCCAUGCUUUCCUCUCGCUGCCACCAUCAGGUAGGAGGAGGAAACCAGAGCACGCGUUCACGGGCAGAACGUACAAACUCCUCACAGGCCGCGGCGGGAAUUGAACCCCGUCACCUACACUGAAAAGCGAUGUGCCACAAUGCUACCUUGCCACGACAUUGAAUCUGAAUCUGAGGCAUAUUAGUCAACAUGGAUGACCUGGGCUGAGGAAACUAUUUCUGUGCUGUACAAAACCCUCCAUGUACAAUUCUAUGACCCUCUGCCCCUCUCCCUUCCACCCAA